CCUACGGGUGGCAGCAGUGAGGAAUAUUGGUCAAUGGCCGGAAGGCUGAACCAGCCAUGCCGCGUGAAGGUCAGUGCCCUAUGGGCGUUAAACUUCUUUUGUGCGGGAGCAAUAAUGGUCACGUGUGGCCAGACGAGAGUACCGUACGAAUAAGCAUCGGCUAACUCAGUGCCAGCAGCCGCGGUAAUACGGGGGAUGCAAGCGUUAUCCGGAUUUAUUGGGGUUAAAGGGGGCUUCGGCGGGCUGUUAAGUCAGCGGUACACGCCCGGGGCUCAACCCCGGCGAGCCGUUGAAUCUGGCGGUCUUGAGAUGUCGAGAGGUAUGCGGAAUGCGCAGUGUAGCGGUGAAAUGCUUAGAUAUUGCGCAGAACUCCGAUUGCGAAGGCAGCAUACCGGCGGCGAUCUGACGCUCAGGCACGAACGCGUGGGUAUCGAACAGGAUUAGAUACCCCUGUAGUC
rnacentral:rRNA from 1 species